UAAGACGGAAUUACUGGGCUUCUCUUCAAUGCUCUAUAUUACAACACAGAGAGGACAGCAUCACUCCACAAAAGUUUUUGUUAAAAACGUCAACGUUCAGAGGCAUCACUCAGUACCAGUCAUGCAGAGACUUUAUGAGGCUGUUGUAAGAGAUUAGCAUAUCCCCUGUAUGUCAGUAAUGCACUACUUCAAAGAUGUGAGGACAAGAACAUACACCUGCGAGUAGUCUUUGACAUUGCCUGUGUUGUUGCCUCACAUUUGCAGAUUCACUUGUAAAGAAGCAAGUCGAUGCUGGAUUUGCAGAGAGACUGUGAUUAAAAGCCCCACUAAUAUUGGAUCUGACGAAAAUGACACAGCAAGUGUCACUGUGGCCUCAAAGCUUCAGCACUGGCACUCAGAGAUCGAUUGCUAAGUCUCAGAAUUGGCUCCCCAUAACGGUAGCCUGUUAUGAUAGUCAAGAGGAGACAGGAGAUGAUGGACAGUGUAAUGGAUGGACAUCUUUUGUAAGGCUAAAACAAAUAGACAACACAAUAUGAGUUUCUUACUUCCACUGAUGACGGGCAGUCAGCUCCUGUGGCCUAUUGGGAUAUUACAGACAGAACCUACAUCCUGCAACUGCACCUUGGCAACUGUCUCCAGUGGAAACAAUUCCCCAAUGACAAAUACUAUUGUAUUGAAAUUGUACUAUGAUCAGAUGUAUACCAGGGGGUAUACACAAUCGGAGGGUAAUCACAAUUGGAUGUCUGUGAUUAUUGAAGUAAAUCAGCAUUCAGCAACUUCUUUAAACAGUUUUAAGUAGAGUUUUCUUUUAGACACACUGUUCUUAUAAUAGAUAGGCUUGUUCUUUAUUUAACACGUCUUUAUGCAUAUAGGGUUACUGCAUUAAUA